rnacentral:rRNA from 1 species
CGUUAGCGGCGGACGGGUGAGUAACACGUGGGUAACCUACCUAUAAGACUGGGAUAACUUCGGGAAACCGGAGCUAAUACCGGAUAAUAUUUCGAACCGCAUGGUUCGAUAGUGAAAGAUGGUUUUGCUAUCACUUAUAGAUGGACCCGCGCCGUAUUAGCUAGUUGGUAAGGUAACGGCUUACCAAGGCGACGAUACGUAGCCGACAUGAGAGGGUGAUCGGCCACACUGGAACUGAGACACGGUCCAGACUCCUACGGGAGGCAGCAGAC